UACGGGGGGAGCAAGCGUUGUUCGGAUUUACUGGGCGUAAAGGGCGCGUAGGCGGUCGUGACAAGUCACUUGUGAAAUCUCCGGGCUUAACUCGGAACGGUCAAGUGAUACUGUCGGACUAGAGUACAGAAGGGGCAACUGGAAUUCUCGGUGUAGCGGUGAAAUGCGUAGAUAUCGUCUGGAACGCCAAAGGUGAAAACAGACUGCUGGGAGUGUGCUGACGCUGAGACACGAAAGCCAGGGGAGCAAACGGG
rnacentral:rRNA from 1 species